GCCAGCUUCACAUACUUAGUGAGCUCCAAGCAUCAGCGGAACAGAACAUCCAAAAGCAGGGGGAAACUAAACCAAAGAGCCAUGAAACUCAUGAGGACCCUUGACUUCCUGCACCCCUGAUCUGACUCGAUGAAAGAAGAUGGUCUCCAGAGCCUCUGUGCUGUUAGUGGUCUCACCUUUGCCUACUCUGGGAAAUGCUUAUACAGACAGAAGAAAAUGGACCUAAUAAGACGUCAGUGCCCAAAGGAGACAGACAUGAAAUCAGUAACUUAAGAACCUGGCCAAAAUGUUUUCCCAGCGUCAUGAAAGAGGCAGACCUGACCAUUUUGCUCUUCACAGAGACUACAAAGAACUGUGGCCAAAGACUCAUCACCAAACUUCAAUUGUCCCUGGAAAGUCCCAAGAGAAAGAAAACCAUAAGUCUGAUUGGUUUCCCAUGAGUCCUUUGCAACCUUAACACUUGGCCGUGAGUUUUUUAUUCAUCAUGGUAAAAUGGCUUGUCUUAGUUACCUUCCCAUUACUGUAAUAAAAUUCC